UUAAAUUGAAGAGUUUGAUCAUGGCUCAGAUUGAACGCUGGCGGCAGGCCUAACACAUGCAAGUCGAACGGUAGCACAGAGAGCUUGCUCUCGGGUGACGAGUGGCGGACGGGUGAGUAAUGUCUGGGAAACUGCCUGAUGGAGGGGGAUAACUACUGGAAACGGUGGCUAAUACCGCAUAACGUCGCAAGACCAAAGAGGGGGACCUUCGGGCCUCUUGCC
rnacentral:rRNA from 7 species